rnacentral:rRNA from 1 species
UACGUAGGGGGCAAGCGUUGUCCGGAAUCAUUGGGCGUAAAGCGCGUGUAGGCGGUUCGGCAAGUCCGCUGUGAAAGUCGGGGGCUCAACCCUCGGAUGCCGGUGGAUACUGUCGGGCUUGAGUACGGAAGAGGCGAGUGGAAUUCCUGGUGUAGCGGUGAAAUGCGCAGAUAUCAGGAGGAACACCAAUUGCGAAGGCAGCUCGCUGGGACGUUACUGACGCUGAGGCGCGAAAGCGUGGGGAGCAAACAGG